rnacentral:lncRNA from 1 species
GACGGAUGCCUUAUCCUGUGAAUAAACUGGCAGUGUUGAUCUACAGCUGUAUGCAGACCACAUCUUUCUUCCAAAGCUGCAAGGCGCACAUUUAAACUCAAAUCUCAGAGAUUGCAGCACCUAGAUUGCAGUACAAAUUGGUAUGACCAACCAGACCCAGCAACCAUCGAUCUUCAUUCUUUCUGCCACCCUGGAAACUGAAACCUUUUGUAGCAAGAGUUUGGAUGUGGAUAGGAAGAUUGUGUCCAGGAAGCCAAAACCAGAAGAUCAUCUGUUUAAUCCACUCCCAGAAGCUGUCCUCUGCCUUGUCCGGCUUUGAUCUUCAGUCUGCAUUCAGAAUUCUAGAUGGGUGCCCCUGCCCCAGCUCAUCUUCCAGCCAAGAUGGGGAGAAAUUAAAAUAA